GCGAUGGCCGAGUGUUUAAGGUGUUGGACUCGAAAUCCAAUGGGGUUUCCCCCCCCGUUCAGGUACAAACCCUCGUGCCGCG